CGGUGUGCCUAAUACAUGCAAGUCGAACGCGUUGGCCCAAUUGAUUGAUGGUGCUUGCACCUGAUUGAUUUUGGUCGCCAACGAGUGGCGGACGGGUGAGUAACACGUAGGUAACCUGCCCAGAAGCGGGGGACAACAUUUGGAAACAGAUGCUAAUACCGCAUAACAGCGUUGUUCGCAUGAACAACGCUUAAAAGAUGGCUUCUCGCUAUCACUUCUGGAUGGACCUGCGGUGCAUUAGCUUGUUGGUGGGGUAACGGCCUACCAAGGCGAUGAUGCAUAGCCGAGUUGAGAGACUGAUCGGCCACAAUGGGACUGAGACACGGCCCAUACUCCUACGGGAGGCAGCAGUAGGGAAUCUUCCACAAUGGGCGCAAGCCUGAUGGAGCAACACCGCGUGAGUGAAGAAGGGUUUCGGCUCGUAAAGCUCUGUUGUUAAAGAAGAACACGUAUGAGAGUAACUGUUCAUACGUUGACGGUAUUUAACCAGAAAGUCACGGCUAACUACGUGCCAGCAGCCGCGGUAAUACGUAGGUGGCAAGCGUUAUCCGGAUUUAUUGGGCGUAAAGAGAGUGCAGGCGGUUUUCUAAGUCUGAUGUGAAAGCCUUCGGCUUAACCGGAGAAGUGCAUCGGAAACUGGAUAACUUGAGUGCAGAAGAGGGUAGUGGAACUCCAUGUGUAGCGGUGGAAUGCGUAGAUAUAUGGAAGAACACCAGUGGCGAAGGCGGCUACCUGGUCUGCAACUGACGCUGAGACUCGAAAGCAUGGGUAGCGAACAGGAUUAGAUACCCUGGUAGUCCAUGCCGUAAACGAUGAGUGCUAGGUGUUGGAGGGUUUCCGCCCUUCAGUGCCGGAGCUAACGCAUUAAGCACUCCGCCUGGGGAGUACGACCGCAAGGUUGAAACUCAAAGGAAUUGACGGGGGCCCGCACAAGCGGUGGAGCAUGUGGUUUAAUUCGAAGCUACGCGAAGAACCUUACCAGGUCUUGACAUCUUGCGCCAACCCUAGAGAUAGGGCGUUUCCUUCGGGAACGCAAUGACAGGUGGUGCAUGGUCGUCGUCAGCUCGUGUCGUGAGAUGUUGGGUUAAGUCCCGCAACGAGCGCAACCCUUGUUACUAGUUGCCAGCAUUAAGUUGGGCACUCUAGUGAGACUGCCGGUGACAAACCGGAGGAAGGUGGGGACGACGUCAGAUCAUCAUGCCCCUUAUGACCUGGGCUACACACGUGCUACAAUGGACGGUACAACGAGUCGCGAACUCGCGAGGGCAAGCAAAUCUCUUAAAACCGUUCUCAGUUCGGACUGCAGGCUGCAACUCGCCUGCACGAAGUCGGAAUCGCUAGUAAUCGCGGAUCAGCAUGCCGCGGUGAAUACGUUCCCGGGCCUUGUACACACCGCCCGUCACACCAUGAGAGUUUGUAACACCCAAAGUCGGUGGGGUAACCUUUUAGGAGCCAGCCGCCUAAGGUGGGAC
rnacentral:rRNA from 2 species